CUCCCUCAAGUGGCUAGGAGUUCUGCUGUUAUAACACACAGAGGUUGAAGAAUCUGCUACAGCCUUUGGGCUAAUGCAGCUGGGUCUUUUAGGUCAGGCAGUUGAGGCUCAUGCUUUCAGAUCCAGAAGUCCAAGUUUUCAUCCCUGCUGCCAAAAACCCAUCCAGGGACAUCUGCUUACAUCCCCAUUUUACAAAUGCUUACACACACCCUUAGUUUUACUCAAGAAUGGGAGAGGAUUUACUUUGGUUUAAAAAGAAAAAUCACCACAAAGUUGUCCAUGCUGUCAGUGGCACUUGUUCGAGAUUUGCAUUGCUGACUACCGACCCCAAAAGAGUUAACCGAGUAGGUGUGACUAAGCAGCAGAGAAAAAGAUGCAAGCGUGAGAGGUUUGGAACCAAAGCAAAAAACCGGAGGUGAGGAGCAUUAAUAAAAAAAAAAAAGGGCAGAGGUGCAGAGUCCAGCAGUGACUGACUUUCUUGAUUUGACUGGCCCUGGCAUUGUUGGCAUCAGUCUCCUGGGAAGGCUGCAGUUCCGCUGUUAUAACACAGGGAGCAGCCUGGAGAAUUUUGAGCUGCGUCACAGAGCUCAGAGAGAGAGAGAGAGAGAGAGAGAGAGUGUGUGUGUGAGAGAGAGAGAGAGAGAGAGAGCAAGCUCCCUCGAUAGGUCUACUAGCAACAGCCCUGCUGCAGCAAGGGGGAAGAGAGAGAGAGGCAGCAAGAGAGAGAGACAGAAGUAAUAACAUCAUGGACUGGGCUCCUGCAACCGGCCAGCUUAAUUUUUAAAAAAUUUAUUUUGGCUUAAUUGAUAUUGGAGGGUUCGCCCAUUGACGAUGCUGGAGACACGAUGCGUUUAAUCCCGCGGGGAGGGAGGGUGGGCAGACGUCGGAAGGGUUAACGGGAGGAAAAUUCUGGAACAUUCUAUUCUGCGGCGCUGCACAGCGAGCGAGCGAAGGGCUAAGGACUGCGCAGAUGUUUAGCGGGCAGAGGUCUUCAGCUCGGGGUCCGUCUUUCCCACUGUCAGUUAUGCAAAGUAACAAAAAGCAAGGGAAGGAUAUGACAAGCUCUUGGAGGUGGUUUGUUAUGUUGUUUAUGCAAAUAAUACAGAACCAAGUAUAUCGUAUCUUGAAUUACUUCAGUGACAGGUAAGUUUCCUGUUGUUGCAAAAUAAGCCACAGUGACGUGUCAGUCAGGCCAGAAGAAAGUGAUAGACUUUUAUGUAUCUUUCUCUUCCUUCUAAGGAUAUUAAGUUCUUGUUAUUGACCAACAGCACAGGUCUGGAAGGGACCUGGAAAACAGGGUAAGGAGGCCAAGACAAAUGGGAAGAUUUUUUUUCAUAACUAUUUUUUACUAUCUUCUCAUUUCCCCCCCCUCCCCCGCCUCCUUGAAGUGAUCGACAAUGAAGAUUUCAGUUCUGCUCUGACGUUCUGUGGACAAACCACUUGAGCUUGGGUCUCCUCUGCAGAAGCUGGAUGGCUUCCUGAGCAAGGAGUAGUAACUUGCUUGAUCGUUCAGUAGGGAGAGUUAUUCCUCAUCCUUUUUUCAUGUGAAGUGACUUCAAGAAUAUGAGGGUAUAAGCAUUUAAUGUAUAACUCACCGACAUCUAAAGAGCCAGGUACAGUGAUUUAGCAACAAUCGCUGGGUUUAGAACCAGAUCAUAUGUAUUGCGUUCUUCCUUGAUUUCUUUUAUAGUAAUUUCUCUCCUAAAGUGUAUCCUGAUUUUUUUUAUGUAAUGUAGUUAUAUGCGCACGCACCCUUCCAGCACUGAUUUCAUCCGGUCUUAAAGGGCACCUGCAUUGCUCUCUUAUCUCCAGCUCAAUAUCUUGGGGCAGUAAAAAGGAGGGAGGAGACCAUUUCUAAAGAGUGAGAAGUGGUAGGAGACAGAAGGAGGGAAAAUAACAAGCCAGAGGGGAAAACUGAUCUGUCCCCCCUUUAUCUUCUCGUUCCCAUCUCUACGUUUUUCACGACUCCCCCCUCUGCCAAGGUUCAUGGUGAAUUUUAAAUUAUCUUACUGCGGUUGCCAUUGUCCCUGCUGACUUGUUGAUCCCUCGCCCUGUGGAUUUGGCUCUUUGGAGUCUCCUUGCUUCCUGCAGUGCCAGGUCCGCAGAGCAGCAGAACAGCAGUAACAAUAUGUGUCUGUUCGUCUUACUGCAGAGCACACAAUACAUAUACGUACAUAGACACAGUACUGCAGUUGCAUUUGUACAAGGCAGCAGCUGGGUGAAUGGACGAAUGGUGGGUUAAGUCCAUUUUGCUGAAUGGCAUGUGUAUAUGUGUGUCCCUUGUAUUGCCCACCUAUCGUUGCUGGGGGCUCUGUUAACUUGCAACGCACAGUGCCCAAUAAUGGUUUGGGGUUCCCACUGGAUUUAAAGGAGGUACAGUUGGCAGCCCAUCCACUCAACAGAGAGCAAGCAUUCUUUGAGCACCCAUAUUUAAGCAUAGAGAGUGGUUCAUUUUUAUUCCUUUUCUCAUUUCUCAGCUGCUUACAGAGAAGUUUGCACUUGUGACUCAUUUUUGUCGUCUUAUUUUAACCUUUAAGUUUAGUUGCACUGCUAAACACGUGUUCGUAUGGGAAUUGAGGUUACCUGUUGCAGCUAAAUCUAUGGGACUCAAAGGAUCAUCUGAAAUAAGGCAGUGACAGAAGCAUGGCAUUUUUCUAGAGAGUGAUGGGGAAACUGACUCAUUCAGAUCAUGUGGCUGGAGUUACUAAUGUAAGUGUGUGAGAGGUAUGAACAAUCAAUUGGUCAAAAGUGGUCUAAGUGGUUAAGCACUGAACAGGAGCCCGGAGUUUUGGUUUCUGUUCCUGGCUUUGGCACUUACUUGCUUUUGUGCGACCUUGGUCGUGUCAGUUUACCUCUUUGUGCAUUGGCUUCCUCUUCUGUAAAAUGGAGUUUAUUAUACCUGCCUCAGAGGGGUGUUGUGAGGCUUUGUUCAUUAAUGAGCUGAAUCAUUUAGUCUUUUCUCAAGCAAAACUCUUACUGAUUUCCAUCGCAGUAUUUACUGUUGAAAAUCACGUUCAGACCUUCCAAUGGACGGCAUUGUGCAUUUGAAAGUAUUACCUUGAUGCUUUUCUUAGAUUUCAAGGCCAGAAGGAGCCAGUGUGGGCUCCCCUAUAGCACAGGCCAUGGAAAUUCCAGUGUUGUGGGGGGUUGUUUUUUUUUUUUUGCAUCUGAGCAGGGCUCUGACUGAACAGGUGGCCAUGAUUGCUUCCUGCACUUGUUCUGCUGAUGCUCGUGUUACAUCUGUGAUGCAUUCUGUUUUGUUGGCGAUGGGCGUCUCCGCUUUGUGGAGUUGGAGUGGUAAGGGUUAGAAUGGAGAUUCACAGAGACAUAAAUUUAACGUCGGUAGUAAAGAGUGUAACCAUUAGCCAAAGCAGCAGUGGUAUUGGCAUCCACCAUUUUCACCCCUCAUAAGCAGCAGAGGAAUCCAAAUGGAGGCAACAGCACCACUAGCCAUUUUGUUGCUUGCAGAGUAGAUUCUAAGCCUGCAGUGCCGCUGCUGGUAAUUUUCCAUGUUGUAUAAAUACGGCGUUGGGCUGUGACAGAGCUUUGCUGAUGCUGUGAGGAGGUUCUGUUCUUUCAAUAAAUGUUUUUGUUGUUGUAGGGAGAAAUCUAUUAAAAACAUCCAAAUACUAGAUUUUUGUCCCCUUCCCUACCCACCAGAAAUCACCCCCCGAAACCAUUGAGAAAACCAUAUCUUGCUUGAGGGGAUUUUUUUAACCCUGUGCAUGGUGUUCUCUUGUAGUUGGUAUGGGUGUGGCCAGGGAUUACCAGUCUUUGGUGCCUGGGGUUUGGACAUAUGCCGCAGUGGUUAGCUAUAGCUGAUACUUAUAGGUGGUAAUGUGCCUGAUUACAGGAUUUCCAUAGAAAAUGCCAAUUCCGAGUUGCAUUGAUGUCCUGGUUUAUAGAGGGGAAAUUUAUUCCAUUGUUUCUCCUGCCCUCCCGCCUCCCUACAGUUUUUGCUGGAAAAGGAAAAGAGCAGUGGAUACUUAUGUUGGCUCAUGGAAUGGUUUUACUAGUAUUAAGAAAUACUGAUGGUGUUUAUAUAAUUUAUGCAGAGAUAGACCUUGGAAUAACUGUGCUCAUACCCAGAGAGAGGUACCAUCCACAGCAGGGUGGACCAUCAGACCACCUCCUGCAAGGUCAUUCUGCUGUCUCACCCUCAGCCGCUAACGGUGCUACCUGACCUCAUGGACAUCCUGUAUAAGAUGCCCAAGCAAGCCACAGACUUUGGGAAAAACAGCAUCAGCUAUCAGAGAUUCCUCUUUCAUGAAAGGAAACUUGGAUUCCAGAGAUAGAAAGGGCGCUCUCUAGUUUGCACUGCUGAAAGUGCACAUUCUCACUGGUCCAUCCAGUCAGCCUCUAAUCUAACCAGCAGACCCAGCGUCAUCCCUGGAAGAUGUCCAAGAGAAGACCAUUGCUGGUGGGGAUGAAGAGUGCCCACAAAGCAGAACAGAAGCCCUGGAGUCUGUUUGCUCCAAGACAUGUUUUUUUAGAUCACCCUGAAUAUGGAAUGUGGUUAUUUCCUGAAGGUUCUGGGGACUAGGCUAACCUGAAAAUGCUCUACGAUAGCAUUCUGCAAAAGAUCUGGCUAAUUAUGGCUGACAUUAUUAAACCUCAGUAUAUCCAUGUGGUUCUAUUACCUGAGCCUCUUAUCAAAGGAAAACAUUAGUCAAGCUGUUGUCGAAGAGUGCUUCUUUGCUCUAUAGAGAUUAUCAGUUUGCAGUGAUUGAUUUAGAUUAGGAGUAAUGGGAAGAAUGUAAAAAUUCCAUUUCACCAGUGGCUGGGACUGAAUUCCAUUUCACCAUUUCGACCAUUCUAGUUGCGGGGACUGAAGAGAGUAGAAGGGACCUACUUCUGCUCUUAGUUAGAGGCAAUCUUACUGGGUUCAAAUAGUGGAGUUACAUCCAUUGUAGCAAAAAAAUUCUUGCGUUUCAACCCUGAUGCUACGCAUGUACAGUAUAGAUGGUGACCCACUAUAAAUCUGCAACACAUAAGAUUGUGUACAUUACUGAAGGGUCUGGAGUAGUCUUCAAUCAACAGGAUAUGUAAAGCAGUAGGAGAAGAGUAAAGAGAGGACCUUAAUGAUUGUGGGUAGAUUCUGCUGUCUCACUGAUCUGCUUGCUGUUGCCUCAAUCUAUGCAUAUAUAUUUCCAGCCUGAUUUCCUGUGUUAUCUGUAGGGCUGUCAUCGGAUGUCAGGUCUCUGUGGGCAUCAUCAACAUUUUUCCAGAUACUCCAAGAGCAGGAGCUCGGUUCAUUUGAAAGUGGCUGCAAUCUAAGGCCAUGAAAGCAGAGAUGGGAAAACACCCCUGAGGCUAUGUCUACCCUGUGUACCUUGCAGCUGUACACUCUUUGUCGGCAGGAGAGACAAAAUAAAAUCACCCCCAGUGAGGGGCGGAAGCUUUGUUGGCGGGAGAGCAUCACCCAUCGUCCAAGCUCUGUCCACACUGGCACUUUUUGUCAGUAAAACUUUUGUCAAUUGGUGCGGGGGCGGUGUGUUUUUCACACCCCUGACUGACCAAAGUUUUUACUGAUGUAAGUGGUAGUGUAGCCAUAGCCAGAUUCUCUGCUUUUUAAUGUCUGUGUUUAACUGAAAUGGCUUUAACUGAAGUGUGCUGCUUUCUAGUUCAUAGGGCCGACAUCACUGAUGGUGGGUGGGUAUCUAGGCUAGACCCUCAGUAUUGAUGGCACAGAAGCUGUAUUGGUUUACACCAGCUGAAGAUUUUGCCUGUAUGUGUGUACGCACGCAUCUCCCUACCUGCCUAUUCUAGCAGGAGAGAGCCUCUAUCUCAGAGCUGGAGGUGCUGUCACUGAAGCAGUGGAAUGAUUCCCCCACACCACUGACUGAAUUUGCCUCUCACCUUGCUCGCAUUUCAGCUUGACAAAACAAAAUGGCUGCUAGUUCAUCUGAAUGCCUUUUGAAUAAUACAUCUUGUCAUCUGUAGCAAAUGAAUCACACCCGCUUCCUAUUACCACAAUCAUUUUUUUAGAGAAUGAAACUGGAAUUCCUUUUCUUUUCUAUUCCAAACCACUCUGAGCUGUUUUCUGUCCAUGCUUGUCUUCAAAUGGACUUUGGCCAUUAAAUCCUUUCAGCAGAACAAAUGAAAUGCAGUGCAUGCUGAAACGCUAUGAAGUAGCAUUAGUUUUCACAUAUUCCUUGUUGCACUUAUAGGUGCUGCUAUAAAACAAAACAAAAAUCUCUACUUUAACUGGCUGCAUCUCAUAGAAGAAUUUCAUUGUGGUCCAAUGGUUAGAGAAGGGCACGCAGAGUCAGGACUCUGUCAUUUACUUACUGUGUAACGUUGAGAAAAUCACUGUGCCUCAAUUCAUACAUUUAUAAGAUGAGUAAUACAUACCCACCUCCCAAAGGGGUCACUACAUUUAAUUAACAUUUGCAAAGUGCUGUUGUGUGAAAGGGCCUAUAAAAACCCAGCUUGAUGGCAUUUCUAUGCUUGGAAGUUUGGAUAUAACGUGAUAACUAUGGAACGCCACGUCGGAUCGAUUGCAAAAUUUCAGGGAAUGUUCUAGGCAUUGAUGGGCAGAACCCUAUUGAUUUUGGCAAAGUCAGCAGAGAGAAAUUGGAGAUAGAUGGAACCCCUUGCAUCUGGUUAGCAGAGCUAGGAGCUUCGGCCACCUCUGUAAUUGUCUACAGAUCAGAUAAGUGGUGGAUGGCAGCCAUUAACACAUUAAAGCAUAACAAUAUCUACCCCUCAUUUUAGCUCUGUCUGUCCUCCCAAUCCAGUUUAAAAAUGUUGACAGAGAAAGAAAAGAAGAAGAAUGGGUGUGGGAGGGCACACAUAACCCCUGGCAGAGGGAGAAUGUGGGACCCUGGUAUGGGGAGAAGCUGAGUGCACACAGAGCAUGGGAAGGACUGGGGGUGCACACAGUCCCUGGCAUGGAGUAGAGAAUAGGGAACACAGAGCCUGUAGCAUAGGGUGGAGAGGUUGAAACAAGUCCCUGAAAUAGAGGGGGAUUGGAGGGCGGGGAGGAUGGACGCAAGGACCCCCUGGUGUGUGCAGUGAGCUUCAGUCAGCUUCACUGACUGAAGCAAAAAAAGUGUGUGGCCCCUAGUUAUUAUGGCUUGCAGUAUUUCUGCUGCAUCCUUUGUCUGUUUUCUGACCCUCUUCAUUCCAGCUGAACCAUGAACAUUUUUGUUGCUUAUCGGAUGGACAUAUUGUAGCAAGGAUGGAUUUGAAUGCAUCAGGAAAUUGCCUUAUAAUGACAGUAGUUUCCACUUAAUAUCUUUCUUGUCCAAGAAUCAAAAAAUACUUUAUUAAGGUAAGUAAGUAUUAUCCCUAUUUAAAGAUGGGGGCAACUGAGGCACCAAGAUGUCUUGUAUGACCUUGGAUACGUCAGUUUCGAGUUAGUAACAGAACCCAGGUCUUUUGAUACACAUUUAACUACUUUCAUUACCAGAUACUGCCUCUUAGUAUUAUGUAGUUAAUAUUGUAAAUCGUUGGUGGCAGGUAGGCAAAUUAGUUUGGCUAAUGUUACUGUCUUACUCUGAGCAAUGGAUGGGGCCUGUUCAGUGCUGCCUGAGCAGCUUUUAACUGAAGCCCAGUUAAUACAAAUGUAUGUGUGUGCUGGUGUUUGUUUUUAUCCCUGUAGUUCCCUAGCUGAGAGGCAUCCAGCAAAGUUUAUUGUCACGUCAUUUGUAAAAUAUGUACUUGUUGCAUUUGAAACUAUUUGUUUAGCUGGAGGCCAUGCUAAAUGACUCUGUACUAAUUAACCUGAUGUGAAAGAGGAAGAAUUACAGCUGAAGUGCAUUGCAUACCUAGACAUGUUUAGUACAUGAAAAUAAACACAAACCCAAUACCCUCCUUUUUAGUAUUAAUCUAAAGCAGAGGUUCCCAAACUUUUCUUAUUGCAUACCCCCUUCCAGAUCUAUCAGCUGCCCACAUAUCUCCUUCCAGAUCUACUAUUUGCUUGCGUUCCCUUACCUGUCUGACUGCUGAUACUUUGUGUUCUUCUUAACGCUGCCUGUCUUGAGCCAUCUGCCCAUAUUUCAUUGUUAUAUAGGAAUAGAGUUAUUGUGAAAUGUAUACAAUUGAAAAAAAAAAAACAACCCUGACUAAGUUCUGAGCUCAGUUAAACUGGACAGUUGCUGGGCAACCGAACCGCACUGUACGGUGAUUGGAGGUGAGGGCUCUGUACGUCAGCGUCUCCGUGUAUCUGUGUUCUCAUUGAUACAUCUUAAAGUCAAUUAACUACCAUAUUUUAUAUAGCAAAUUCCCAAUGAGUUUUAAAGCUUUGUCUGAGUAGUCUAUUAGAAAAAUGCAAUAAAUAAAAUAAUUAAUAAACCCACCAUUACACAAUUUCUCCAUCGUACCCCCUGGAGUAUAUGUACCACAGUUUGGGAAUCUAAAGCAUUGGUUCCAUUGAGGUAGAGAGCUGGCUGAAAUAUUCACCUGAGAUGUCCAGUGUUUUUAUGCUAUAAAACUAAUUAGGUCAACCUUAAGUCAUAGAAUAUCAGGGUUGGAAAGGACCUCAGGAGGUCAUCUAGUCCAACCCUCUGCUCAAAGCAGGGCCAAUCCCCAAUUUUUGCCCCAGAGCCCUAAAUGGCCCCCUCAAGGAUUGUACUCGCAACCCUGGGUUUAGCAGGCCAAUGCUUAAACCACUGAGCUGUCCCUUCCCCCCAAGUCAAUGGGACUGUUAGCCAAGCAUCCAUGAGACUAUUCUAUGUUGUUAGUCUUCUCUCUUAGCUAGGUGUCCCAAAAGUCUCUCUCUAUCUAUUGCAUAUUGGAUAUUUCACUUUCUCAGCGCUGUAAUUCUUCAGAAGUCCACACAGUUUAGCACUGGGGGGAGGAUGGGUACCUCAGCCUGUGUCUAUGCUACAAGUGCUACAGCAGCGCAGCAGAUGCACUACCUACAUCAACAAAAGGGUGGUGGUGUUUUUUUCGGUCUGUGUAGUUAAUCCACCCCUCUGAGAGAGGAUAGCUAAAUAUAGCUGCAUCUACACUGGUGAUUAGAGUGCCCGAACUACAGCAUGUGGAGACAAAAAAUUUUUCACAGUCCUGAGUGUUGUAGCUCUGUCAAUAUGAUAUUUAAAUAUGGACCAGGCCGUGGAGUUUGUUUUAGGGCUCCUAACGCAUUGUCUUCCAGAUGAACCUGUCUCCAGCCCAAUGGUUUCAUCAUUUCAGCUUGAUGGUUAUUGAAAGCUCUUUCCAUCAGGUGGAUGCUUGCAGCCCAUAUUAAAUUAUUUUGUGUCCUCCAUCUGUUAGUAGGUAGGUAUCCCUGUUACAAAAAAACACCAAUGUAAUGGACAGUCUCGGCACAGGCUAAGGACUGCAUGGAUUGUGGAGACUGAAUUAGCUGCUUGUUCCCAGGUUAAAGUACAAGGUGGAGCAGGAUGGGGGCUGCCCAGGCUGCAGCUGGUUUGUGAAUAAAGUAUUCAAUCUUAAGUAGUUCUCAUCAGCAUAAAAUAACUUUAGGGGUUAAAAAAAAGUAGAAUCACUCACAAGUGUUUUCCUAGUUUGGUGUUAAUCUUGCUACCUGGCUGUUCAGUUUAAAAGUUAUUUCUUUCUAGAGAAAGUGGUUGCAAGGUAAAAGUGUGAAUUCCUAAACAAAGCAGUAGCUUUCACUUCACCUUUCUAGUGGUUUAAUACGUUGCCAUGACUUAUGAACAGUGCAUAUAAUUGUUGUGUUUCAUAACCCCUUCUGGGUCUGUCUCAAUUGAAGUGAAAAAUUAUGUAGUACAGCUUAGUUAUUGCAAAACAUUUUACAUGGUAAUGUAAUUUACUUACAUGAUAGGAGUCCAGGAAGUCAGCAUUGCCCGGUCUGUGUUGACACUUUUCAUGACCUUACAAGACCUUGAGUGGAGAGAGGGAAUAGGGAAUGGAGAAAGAGAGAAGGUGAGGGGUAAUUUUGUCUUUAUUAGUAAAGGGGCUCAACUUUUUACUUUAAAACACAACUUGCAAAAUUAAAGAAACAAUCUAAAAAUGGUUAUUUGAACACCAUCUGUUUGAGAAACACUUAUUUUAAAUGUAGCCUGCAAGCUUCUUUUUUAACAUCAUCAGUGCUGAUAAAGAGCUUGAUACAAUAUCUUGGUGACAAUGGGAACAUUUCUUUCUUUUCAUACUUACAUGUUUAAAGCUAGAUAAUCUGUCUUGCUGGAUAUAUUGCAGGAAAGGUAUUGCACUUGAGCUGCCUAAGAGAUCCAAGAGCUUAGUACCUUUUACUUCUCUCUCUAUCUCUCCCCCCCAUCCCCCACUUCCUCCUCCAGGUGUUGCUUUAAGACCAGCUCAUCAAGUAUUCCCUCAUCCCUAAUAAUUCCCAGUGUCUUGUUUGCCAUGUCGUACUUGGACUGUAAAUUAAUCUAGGCAGUAAAUAUAUGGGUUCAAUUCUGAUAGUUAAAGCCUUAUAUGGCAGCCUGGGAUUGAAUUUAUCCUGCUAAUGUGACUUAAAAGCUAAGUUGCCAUGUCUUCACUGCUGUUUUAACCUGAGGUAAGAACAUACCUUUUUUUUGUACGUAGACACUGUGUGUGUGUGUGUAGCACAGCACCAUUGAACUUCCACUACCUUAGAAAAUGGCAUUCCGAAUGCUGCACAACAUUGGCAGGAUGACACAUUCUGGCCAGGGCAUCAAGGCAAAAUAUCACUCUUAUGAAAAUUGCCAUGGCAUCUUCUAGUGUCCAUGAAGAACAGACAGCUUCUCUUCUUAAAGGACUUGUCUACACUUAAAAUACUGCCGUGGCGCUGCUGUAACGCUUUAGUGAAGAUGCUACCUACCCCGAUGGGAAGACUUCUCCCAUUGGUGUUGGUACUCCAUCUCCCCAAGAGGUUGUAACUGUGUCAGUGGAGGAAACCCUCCUGCUGUCUACACUGGGAGUAAGGUGGAUAUAAUUGCGUUGCUUGGGGGUGUAGAAAAUCCACACUCCGAAGCGAUGUAGUUAUACCAAUGUAAGUUGCUAAUCUAGACCAAGCCAAACUUUCAUAUGAAAGACAGCUAAUUGCAUUGAUCUCAGUUUAUUUACCUAAGAAGGAACAUGGACUAAGUUGACCUUGGUAGGAUUUGAACCUGUGAUUCCAAGGAAAUGAGAUAAGACGUUUAAAUCUUAAUGCUUGGCCUCCUACAGCGUAUCCUCCAAUUUAGGAACCACUAUCCAUUAAUGUAAAUAUAUUACGCACAAUUCUGUUUUUAUUAAUUUAUUUUUAUACACAGGAAGAUUUUUAAUUUUUGUUUUGUCUUCAGUUUGUAAUUUUCAUAUGCAAAUGUCUCUAGUUGGGUUAAGAAUGACCUCAACAGUGCAUGCUUUUCAUUACCUUUGGUUCACUUGACGUGGUUUGGCUUGUGUUGAAGCUCAAGGCUGGAGAUUUAAAAGGAGGAAGAAACCAAAACAAAUAUAAACACAUUUGAGGACUAUUUUUCUCUCCCUGUUCAGGUUAUAAAAUUCCUGUGUGUCUGACGAGCUUGAUAUUUCCCACUAGCAUUAAUCUGGGGAGGGGUAGCUCAGUGGUUUAAGCAUUGACCUGCUAAACCCAGAGUUGUGAGUUCAA